GGGCGAUUAGCUCAGUUGGUAGAGCAUCUCGUUUACACCGAGAAUGUCGGCGGUUCGAGCCCGUCAUCGCCCACCA
rnacentral:tRNA from 3 species